rnacentral:rRNA from 1 species
AUUACUCCUACGGGAGGCAGCAGUGAGGAAUAUUGCGCAAUGGGGGCAACCCUGACGCAGCAACGCCGCGUGAGUGAGGAAGGUUUUCGGACCGUAAAGCUCUGUCGAGCGGGAAGAAAUGCAUAGUGGCUAAUAUCCAUUAUGCUUGACGGUACCGCUAAAGGAAGCACCGGCUAACUCCGUGCCAGCAGCCGCGGUAAUACGGGGGGUGCUAGCGUUGUUCGGAAUCAUUGGGCGUAAAGAGCGUGUAGGCGGCUGGAUAAGUCAGAUGUGAAAGCCCUGGGCUUAACCCAGGAAGUGCAUUUGAAACUGUUCAGCUUGAGUAAGGGAGAGGAAAGUGGAAUUCCUGGUGUAGAGGUGAAAUUCGUAGAUAUCAGGAGGAACACCGGUGGCGAAGGCGACUUUCUGGCCCUAUACUGACGCUGAGACGCGAGAGCGUGGGUAGCAAACAGGAUUAGAUACCCUGGUAGUCAAU